CACACUACUGCGUUACGCAUGCGCGCACAACCUACCCUCGCAUACCGUCUCCACACCAUUCUCUCUCCACUGCAGUCUCUACUUUACCAGAGGCAAAUGGAUGAUUGGCAACACGACCUUUAACGGUUCCAAUAUUUAUGACAUUAUGGUGGAAAAUUCGGAAUUAUUUAUUCUUUUCAUUUAGCUUGUACGGAAUAAUCGUUGUACGUUCUUAGUGGUAAACCGAAAUAUUAUAAUGUUAUUUAUUAAGCAGGUGACAGUUUUAAUAAAAUCAUUCCAGGAAAUAUCAUCAAGUGUCAAUUAAAUUAUUUAUUUUCAGAAGUUUCCACUAUACAUUUUUGUAUUAUAGCCGUAAUUGUAGGUAGAGGAGACGGUAUCUGAGAGGAAGCAAUAACAUAAAAUCUACAAGGGACAUGGCGUGUUUACACUAGAGUCAUAACAUUGAAUUAACGAAUGUUUUCUGGCCAGUGUAAACACAAAGAAACAAUCAUGGAGACAACAAAUUGACAAAGCUAAGGAAGAAUAAACAUGUAAUUAAAAUAUUCAAUGAUUUAUCAAUGCUGAGAGAAUUCAUUGUUUGUUUGUCUCAACAUUGACUUCACAUUUUGUCUACAAAAAAUCCGACGUCAAAGUUUUCUUUGGAUUAAAUGCAGACAAAUGAAACAACUAAAGGACAACAAAGCUAAUAAUUAUGAUGUAAGCUUUCACCUCUACAAGUAAAUCCUGUAAAAUGUUGAUUAUUAUAAGUAAUAAAAUGUGCAAAAGAAUGAACGCCGUGCAUAUAGGGGUAAGCGUUUCAAGAGAAAGAU